rnacentral:rRNA from 1 species
AUGGAUAACCGUGGUAAUUCUAGAGCUAAUACAUGAGCAAAUUCUCAACUGUUUCAGAAGAGAUGCAUUUAUUAGAUAAAAAACCAAUGCAUGCUUUUACGGCAUGGAAAUUGGUGAUUUACAAUAACUUAGCAAAUCGCAUGUAUAGUGAAAACUGGCGAUAAAUCAUUCAAGUUUCUGACCUAUCAGCUUUCGACGGUAUGGUAUUGGCUUACCGUGGCAGUGACGGUUAACGGGGGAUUAGGGUUCGAUUCCGGAGAGGGAGCCUGAGAAACGGCUACCACAUCUAAGGAAGGCAGCAGGCGCGCAAAUUACCCAAUUCUAACAGCAUAAGAGAGGUAGUGACAAGAAAUAACAAUACAAGGCAAUUAAAAUGCUUUGUAAUUGGAAUGAUAGAAAUUUAAACACUUUUUAAAGUAUCAAUUGGAGGGCAAGUCUGGUGCCAGCAGCCGCGGUAAUUCCAGCUCCAAUA